GACGAACGCUGGCGGCGUGCUUAACACAUGCAAGUCGAACGGUAAGGCCCUUCGGGGUACGACGAGUGGCGAACGGGUGGAGUAACACGUGGGUGGAUCUGCCCUGCACUUCGGGAUAAGCCUGGGAAACUGGGUCUAAUACCGGAUAGGACCAUGGACUUCACGGUUUGUGGUGGAAAGCUUUUGCGGUGUGGGAUGGGCCCGCGGCCUAUCAGCUUGUUGGUGGGGUAAUGGCCUACCAAGGCGACGACGGGUAGCCGGCCUGAGAGGGUGUCCGGCCACACUGGGACUGAGAUACGGCCCAGACUCCUACGGGAGGCAGCAGUGGGGAAUAUUGCACAAUGGGCGCAAGCCUGAUGCAGCGACGCCGCGUGAGGGGAUGACGGCCUCGG
rnacentral:rRNA from 1 species